rnacentral:lncRNA from 1 species
UGGAGUUCCAGCCUUUCCCAGGCUGUAGGUCAUGACACCUACAAAGUCUUUAUGUUUACUCCUUCUACAGGAAGAACACCUGCAGGACUUAUACGCACCUCCUCAUAUUUGUAGAGCAUCAUGGUGAACUUGGAGAGGGGAUCUGCAAAGCUUUUGGAAAUACUAUUUUACACUUGGGAACACGUGGGAGUUUCUACCGACUUCCAUCUUGCCCACCCUACUUCCUCCUAAGUAAGGUUACAGGAAUAAGUAAGGCUGACUACAGUCUAAUGCGCCUAUAUCUCCUGUUACUUCAGGGGCAGAGGCAGGAAGCUGGCUGAGCUUCCCCUCUCUGCUGCUCAAGUCCUG